rnacentral:lncRNA from 1 species
GCCACUACCACCAGGCAACAUCCUGAGAGGAUCCGCUAUCAUCUAAGUUUCUCACCUUGACACAAAGCCUUGUUUGGCCCUCCCUAGUUAUACUUCUGGGUUUUUUCUUAAGUCUCUGUUGUUUUUUUUUUUCCCUCAGUCUUUGCAACAGUACUAAGUUUAAUGCCACAUCAGACUGAAUAUUUCUCUUUGAAUCAGCUGCCUAAAUCACCUUUGCUGACAUCUGCAAUCAUGAGAUUCAGACCCUGAAAAUACUGACUGCAAUUAGGACUUCCAAAUCAGGGUACAUCAAGGAAGAGAAAAUGGAAACUCAUGGGACAAACACAUGGCCUUCCAUUGUUCAGUUCCAAAGCACAAACAAAGAAGAUGAUUUUUCAAAUAUUGAACUGACAAAGGAUAACUCUGAGCUCUAUUUUGGUACUUGGACCUACCAGAACUACUUAUGGACUUACCCUCCUCUCUCUCUCUCCCUUACUCCUUUUCUUUCACUCAUUGGCAAAGGCGUUGAGAGGGGACCAUCUCCAGUUGUCCUGAUCUAUAUCUGGCCACUGGACUCAGAUGGCUCCGGAAGAGAAAGUGAGGCUGGUGACUUUGCACAGCCCUCCCUCACUUAAAUCCAAUUCACUUGCAAGUCGUGGCAUCACCUUCCUGAUGUCAUGGUAUAAGACAAACAACAACAAUGAUGGUGACAGGGCCUUGAGAAUUGAAACUCAUAUUUUUUGGGAGGAAUAAGAGUAGAAUUUUAAAAUUCCAAGCUUACUAAUCAUAGAUAAAAAUAAACAUUUAAAUAAAAAAAAUUUAAAAUGCUCA